GACGAGGGGUCCUAGCGUUGUUCGGAAUCACUGGGCGUAAAGCGCAUGUAGGCGGCUUGGUAAGUCAGUUGUGAAAGCCCUGGGCUCAACCCAGGAAGUGCAUCUGAUACUGCUAAGCUUGAAUAUGGGAGAGGGUAGUGGAAUUCCUGGUGUAGUGGUGAAAUACGUAGAUAUCAGGAGGAACACCGGUGGCGAAGGCGGCUACCUGGCCCAAUAUUGACGCUGAGAUGCGAAAGCGUGGGGAUCAAACAGG
rnacentral:rRNA from 1 species